UGACGGCCCUAUGGGUUGUAAACUGCUUUUAUCAGGGAAGAAUAGGCUGAUAUAUAUUGGUUAUGACGGUACCUGAGGAAAAAGCGCCGGCUAACUACGUGCCAGCAGCCGCGGUAAUACGUAGGGCGCAAGCGUUAUCCGGAAUUAUUGGGCGUAAAGAGCUCGUAGGCGGUUUGUCGCGUCUGCUGUGAAAUCCCGAGGCUCAACCUCGGGCCUGCAGUGGGUACGGGCAGACUAGAGUGCGGUAGGGGAGAUUGGAAUUCCUGGUGUAGCGGUGGAAUGCGCAGAUAUCAGGAGGAACACCGAUGGCGAAGGCAGAUCUCUGGGCCGUAACUGACGCUGAGGAGCGAAAGGGUGGGGAGCAAACAGGCUUAGAUACCCUGGUAGUCCACCCCGUAAACGAUGAGAACUAGUCGUCGGGAGGGUCAGCCAUCCGGUGACGAAGCUAACGCGAUAAGUUCUCCGCCUGGGGAGUACGGCCGCAAGGUUA
rnacentral:rRNA from 1 species